rnacentral:sRNA from 1 species
AAUGAGAGGUGCUGGUGUCAGGCCUGUGUAUCUGUGAUGUGACAGAGCGGGACUGAGCUCUCUCCAGAUCCGAGACGCGGUUGUCAGGAGAGGUGGCCUGCAACGGAGAGCUGAGGAUGCAGUUCCUGUGAUGUGGACUUGGAGAAUUCUCUAGUUUCUCCUCUGCCAACCCCUCCUGGACCAUCGUCAGCAGUUGAACCACAAAGGCUGUGAAUCUGCAUCCUAGUCUUAGCAGUCCCUCUGAUUCUCAUGAUGAGCUCACCUGCACAGCCUGGUCAGUCUGGUUGCUUCUUAAACUGUUAAUAGACUUUAUGUGAAAGAUGUUGCUUUGUGUUGUUUCAAACCAAGUAAUUUAAUUUAUGAAGGAACUUUUUUUUUUGGACAAAGAUUGCUUAAUGUAACAAAUCUUGAAUUUUGCAUUCGAUAGCUAAUUCUCUAUUGCUUAACCCAGUUUGCUUCCUGGACAACUGAUUUGAUUUGCAUUGUAGUCUGAGCAUGGGACUUUAAUUCUUCUGCUUCCAAGGUAACAUUCAGAUUGAACUUUAUGAAGU